GAUGAACGCUGGCGGCGUGCUUAACACAUGCAAGUCGAACGGAAAGGCUCCUGCUUGCAGGGGUACUCGAGUGGCGAACGGGUGAGUAACACGUGGGUGAUCUGCCCUGCACUUCGGGAUAAGCCUGGGAAACUGGGACUAAUACCGGAUAGGACGAUGGGUUGGAUGCCAUUGUGGAAAGUUUUUCGGUGUGGGAUGAGCUCGCGGCCUAUCAGCUUGUUGGUGGGGUAAUGGCCUACCAAGGCGUCGACGGGUAGCCGGCCUGAGAGGGUGUACGGCCACAUUGGGACUGAGAUACGGCCCAGACUCCUACGGGAGGCAGCAGUGGGGAAUAUUGCACAAUGGGCGCAAGCCUGAUGCAGCGACGCCGCGUGGGGGAUGACGGCCUUCGGGUUGUAAACUCCUUUCGCUAGGGACGAAGCGCAAGUGACGGUACCUGGAGAAGAAGCACCGGCUAACUACGUG
rnacentral:rRNA from 1 species